UACGUAGGGGGCAAGCGUUGUCCGGAUUUAUUGGGCGUAAAGAGCGUGUAGGCGGCUUUACAGGUCCGUUGUGAAAACUCGAGGCUCAACCUCGAGACGCCGGUGGAAACCGUAAAGCUAGAGUCCGGAAGAGGAGAGUGGAAUUCCUGGUGUAGCGGUGAAAUGCGCAGAUAUCGGGAGGAACACCAACGGCGAAGGCAGCUUGCUGGGACGGUACUGACGCUGAGAUGCGAAAGCGUGGGGAGCAAACAGG
rnacentral:rRNA from 1 species